rnacentral:rRNA from 1 species
GUAGUCCGUGCUGUAAACGAUGGAUGCUAGCCGUGGGAGGGUUACCUUUCCGUGGCGUAGCUAACGCGUUAAGCAUCCCGCCUGGGGAGUACGGUCGCAAGAUUAAAACUCAAAGAAAUUGACGGGGACCCGCACAAGCGGUGGAACAUGUGGUUUAAUUCGAGGCAACGCGAAGAACCUUACCAGGAUUCGACAUGCCCUCUUCCGGCCCCCGAAAAGGGGCCUUCAGUUCGGCUGGGAGGAGCACAGGUGCUGCAUGGCUGUCGUCAGCUCGUGUCGUGAGAUGUUGGGUUAAGUCCCGCAACGAGCGCAACCCUCGUCCCCUGUUGCCAUCAGGUUAAGCUGGGCACUCUGGGGAAACUGCCGGUGAUAAGCCGGA